GGGCGCUUCCCGGGCUCCGAGCUCCUUGCAAGUGCCUGUUCGAGGCCAGCGAGUUCCAAGGCAGCUCCCGGCGCUGGCGACCCCGUGGUUCUCCGCUCUCCCCGGUUUUGCCGGGCUUGCAGCUCACCGGUGAGGUUUAGCGACCAACGUGGCACUGAAAGCCACGGGGGUGCCAGUUCCCAGCCCGAUGCGGGGACACCGGCUACUUAUCAGUGAGUUUAGUCUGGGCUAAAAAUCUGUAAGGUCCUGUGCCGGAAGUCAAAAAUUCGUUCGAUAAACCUCCUGCCUUUGAAACCUACCGAACUCCCGACUGUAGGGCCAGAAAUAUCACAGAAUCAAUUAGGCUGGAAACGACCUCUGAGAUCAUCGAGUCCAACCCAUGACGGAACACCACCCUGUCAACCAGAUGAUGGCACUGAGUGCCACGUCUAGUUUUUCCUUAAACACCUCCAGGGAUGGUGACUCUACCAUCUCCCUGGGCAGUCCAUCCCAAAAGACGUGCAGGGAGGUCACUGGGAGUGUCCCUCCCUACUGGAGCCCCACCAGCGUGGUGCCAGCCUUGCCAGCUUGUUUUGCCAACGUUUCCUCCCCAGCACAAUCACUAAAUACCCUUUGCUGUCAUCUGUCCUUGGCAGAGGCAAACAAGAGCUGCUGGUCGUGCUGUAGAUGUAUCCACAGCAGUGGUUUUUCAUGCAAGUGUCACUCCAGCCAUCUUCUCUCUGCAGUGCUCAAGAAGUCCCAGCCUGCAGAGAGAAAGAGAAGUGUACUCUGAAACCAAAGCAUGGCUAAUGUCAUUGGACUAUAUCCUGAUAUAAGGUACAAUUGCUGAUGUCCUCAAAUUCCACUGCCAUAGAAGAAAAAGAGGAGUAAGAAAAUCAGCAAAUCCCGAGGAUUGCAUUGGAUUGGACUCUGUACACUCCACAGAGCUGAGCUCCCGUGGUUCUGUUUAAUUGGAUCUUUUUCAAACCAUCACUUUGGCAGCACUCAAUAACCUCCAUACUGAUCUUUUAUUAUCUCUAACAAAUAAAUGACUGCAGGAUUAGGCUGGAUGGUCAAUAUUUGUGACCUUUGCUGUAACCUUUGUCAGUCUGUGCAGAAACAGGGUGACUCUUCCCGGACUGCUCCAGUCUGGGAUGCCCGGAGCCACUCACCCUGCUUGCUGCCGUGGGGAACAGCUCUGUUCUCUUAUUGUGGUGCUUAAUCCAUUUAUUUCUGUCUUAAAAUCUCAUUUUUAUACAAGAUUACUGAUAUAUUUGUGUAACGCCGGAGGGGAUCCCGCAUUUUCGGGCUGCUGGAAGGGCAGGGCUGUCUGCCGCUGACCACCGCUCCUGCUACUCAGCAGUUUCUCGUUUCCAAACCCUUUUUUUUUUUUCUCCAAGCGUCGUCCCCAUUUUUGCAGUGCCACCAAGCGGAUGGUUCCCCCGUCAGCAUUUGAAUUUCCCACUUCUAAACAAACAGAGAACUCUCCGGUAGUUGAGCAUUGUGUUAAACGCAACCCACCUCAGCAAACCGCGGGGUUGGUGCGAUGGCAGGAAAUAAAGGGUCGUUAAUAAAAACCACUUUCAUAAUGUGUUUGUGGCCCUUUCAGACUUGUGAAGACCAGGUUUCGGCUCCUCAGGAGGUGGCACAACGCGGAUAUUAAGGAAGGGUUCAGAGCCAGGCUCUGCUCCAGGGGGCAGCAAUGGCACCAGAGGAACGAGCAGGAACUGAUGCCCACAGGUUCCACCUGAACGUGAGGAAGAACUUCCCUGUGAGUGACUAAGCCAUGAAGAGACACCAGAGAGGGUGUGGAGUCUCCCUCACUGCCGAUAUAUAAUAUAGAUAUA